GAUGAACGCUGGCGGCGUGCCUAAUACAUGCGAGUCGAGCGAACAGACGAGGAGCUUGCUCCUCUGACGUUAGCGGCGGACGGGUGAGUAACACGUGGAUAACCUACCUAUAAGACUGGGAUAACUUCGGGAAACCGGAGCUAAUACCGGAUAAUAUAUUGAACCGCAUGGUUCAAUAGUGAGAGACGGUUUUGCUGUCACUUAUAGAUGGAUCCGCGCCGCAUUAGCUAGUUGGAAGGUAACGGCUUACCAAGGCAACGAUGCGUAGCCGACCUGAGAGGGUGAUCGGCCACACUGGAACUGAGACACGGUCCAGACUCCUACGGGAGGCAGCAGUAGGGAAUCUUCCGCAAUGGGCGAAAGCCUGACGGAGCAACGCCGCGUGAGUGAUGAAGGUCUUCGGAUCGUAAAACUCUGUUAUUAGGGAAGAACAAAUGUGUAAGUAACUAUGCACGUCUUGACGGUACCUAAUCAGAAAGCCACGGCUAACUACGUG
rnacentral:rRNA from 1 species